rnacentral:rRNA from 1 species
AUUGAACGCUGGCGGCAUGCUUUACACAUGCAAGUCGAACGGCAGCGGGGGCUUCGGCCUGCCGGCGAGUGGCGAACGGGUGAGUAAUGCAUCGGAACGUGCCCAGUCAUGGGGGAUAACUACGCGAAAGCGUAGCUAAUACCGCAUACGCCCUGAGGGGGAAAGUGGGGGAUCUUCGGACCUCACGUGAUUGGAGCGGCCGAUGUCAGAUUAGCUAGUUGGUGAGGUAAAGGCUCACCAAGGCGACGAUCUGUAGCGGGUCUGAGAGGAUGAUCCGCCACACUGGGACUGAGACACGGCCCAGACUCCUACGGGAGGCAGCAGUGGGGAAUUUUGGACAAUGGGCGCAAGCCUGAUCCAGCCAUGCCGCGUGAGGUGAAG